UGCGACCGUACUCCCCAGGCGGAAUGCUUAAUCCGUUAGGUGUGUCACCGAAUAGUAUACUACCCGACGACUGGCAUUCAUCGUUUACGGUGUGGACUACCAGGGUAUCUAAUCCUGUUUGCUCCCCACACUUUCGCACCUCAGCGUCAGUAUCGAGCCAGUGAGCCGCCUUCGCCACUGGUGUUCCUCCAAAUAUCUACGAAUUUCACCUCUACACUUGGAAUUCCACUCACCUCUCUCGAACUCAAGACUGGGAGUUUUAAAGGCAGUUCCAGGGUUGAGCCCUGGGAUUUCACCUCUAACUUUCCAAUCCGCCUACGUGCGCUUUACGCCCAGUAAUUCCGAACAACGCUAACCCCCUCCGUAUUACCGCGGCUGCUGGCACGGAGUUAGCCGGGGUUUCUUUACCUGCUACUGUCAUUAUCAUCACAGGCGAAAGAGCUUUACGACCCUAAGGCCUUCUUCACUCACGCGGCAUGGCUAGAUCAGGCUUGCGCCCAUUGUCUAAGAUUCCCCACUGCUGCCUCCCGUAGGAGUCUGGGCCGUGUCUCAGUCCCAGUGUUGCUGAUCAUCCUCUAAAACCAGCUAUAGAUCGUAGACUUGGUAGGCCAUUACCCCACCAACUAUCUAAUCUAACGCGGGCCGAUCCUUCUCCGAUAAAUCUUUCCCCCGAAGGGCGUAUACGGUAUUACUCUUCGUUUCCAAAGGCUAUUCCGUAGAAAAGGGUACGUUCCCACGCGUUACUAACCCGUCCGCCACUAAGCCCGAGGGCUUCGUCCGACUUGCAUGUGUUAGGCCUGCCGCCAGCGUUCGUUCUGAGCCAGGAUCAAACUCU
rnacentral:rRNA from 1 species